rnacentral:rRNA from 1 species
CAACGCGAAGAACCUAACCAGGUCUUGACAUCCUCUGACAACCCUAGAGAUAGGGCUUUCCCCUUCGGGGGACAGAGUGACAGGUGGUGCAUGGUUGUCGUCAGCUCGUGUCGUGAGAUGUUGGGUUAAGUCCCGCAACGAGCGCAACCCUUGAUCUUAGUUGCCAGCAUUCAGUUGGGCACUCUAAGAUGACUGCCGGUGACAAACCGGAGGAAGGUGGGGAUGACGUCAAAUCAUCAUGCCCCUUAUGACCUGGGCUACACACGUGCUACAAUGGACGGUACAAAGGGCAGCAAGACCGCGAGGUUUAGCCAAUCCCAUAAAACCGUUCUCAGUUCGGAUUGCAGGCUGCAACUCGCCUGCAUGAAGCUGGAAUCGCUAGUAAUCGCGGAUCAGCAUGCCGCGGUGAAUACGUUCCCGGGCCUUGUACACACCGCCCGUCACACCACGAGAGUUUGUAACACCCGAAGUCGGUGAGGUAACCUUUGGAGCCAGCCGCCUAAUGAUGCAUCAGCCAUGU